CAAUGAACAUCAACCAGAUGUGUGGAUCCAGACAAGAUUUACAGUAUGGUACAUUCUACAUACCAUCCAUGGAGAUGAAACAGCACUCCUUAAUGAAAUGCCUCCUAUAACAGCAGCUACAAGACGACUAGACGGAGGCAGAGGACAGCAGAUCAGGCGCUCAUCACCUCGAUCACAGAAGUGUAUGCUGGAACGUGCUCUGAGAGUGCUGCAUUUAUCACUGGCAACACAACUAUAAUGCACAUACUCAUCAUCAGAAGGACACUGAGACUGAUACAGUUCCACAUCAUCUGAUUUUGCACCAUCUGGGAAUAUAUUAUUGGAUCAGAAGAUAUUCUUAUACCCGAGAAAAAGCAGUGAUCAACCAAGAGGAGAAUGCUGGCAGCUGCCCACAGGUACAUCAUGACAGGCUGAGAACUCAGCAUCAACUGAGGACCAGCCAGCAACUCCACAACUGGGAGUGAAGGAGGAGGGGUGGGGGAACUG